rnacentral:rRNA from 1 species
AAGGAUCAUUAUAGAUUGGCCGAAAGGCCGUGUCUUCAUCCACACACACCGUGAACAAACCAAGGUCUGGCAGUACGUGAACUCGCGUUCGCAUGUCAGGCCCCAACACAAACAAAACGUAAAGAAUGUAAACUAUCGUAACAUAAACAAAACUUUCAACAACGGAUCUCUUGGCUCUCGCAUCGAUGAAGAACGCAGCGAAAUGCGAUAAGUAAUGUGAAUUGCAGAAUUCAGUGAAUCAUCGAAUCUUUGAACGCACCUUGCGCCUCUUGGUAUUCCGAGAGGCAUGCCUGUUUGAGUGUCUUAUAAAAUCAAUCCCCACGGGUUUCUUGACCUGGCGGUGGACUUGGAGUUGGGCGUCUGCCGGUCACACGGCUCGCCUUAAAGACCUUAGUGGGAUCAUCGGCCUAUGGCUUGACGUAAUAAGUUUCGUCUCGUCCGGCCCCUCGAGCCCGCUCACAACCCGCCCUCGGGCAACUACUUUAUGCUAGACCUCAAAUCAGGUAGGACUACCCGCUGAACUUAAGCAUAUCAAUAAGCGGAGGAAAAGAAACUAACAAGGAUUCCCCUAGUAACGGCGAGUGAACCGGGAAAAGCUCAAAUUUGGAAUCUGGUGUGCUCCGUACGUCCGAGUUGUAAUCUAUAGAAACGUUUUCCGUGCCGGACCGCGUCCAAGUCCCUUGGAACAGGGUAUCAAAGAGGGUGACAAUCCCGUACUUGACGCGACGACCGGUGCUCUGUGAUACGUUCUCUACGAGUCGAGUUGUUUGGGAAUGCAGCUCAAAACGGGUGGUGAAUUCCAUCUAAGGCUAAAUAUUGGCGAGAGACCGAUAGCGAACAAGUACCGUGAGGGAAAGAUGAAAAGCACUUUGGAAAGAGAGUUAAACAGUAUGUGAAAUUGUUGAAAGGGAAACGAUUGAAGUCAGUCGUGACCUUGGGAUUCAGCCGGCCCUGCCGGUGUAUUUCUCAAGGUCGGGUCAACAUCAGUUUCGAUCGGUGGAUAAUGGCUGCUGGAACGUGGCUCCCUCGGGAGUGUUAUAGCCUGCUGUCGCAUACACCGGUCGAGACUGAGGAAUGCAGCUCGCCGAAAGGCCGGGGUUCGCCCACGUCCGAGCUUAGGAUGUUGACAUAAUGGCUUUAAACGACC